ensembl:snRNA U6 U6 spliceosomal RNA
GUACUUGUUUCAGCAGCACAUAUUUUAAAAUUGGAUCAAUACAGAGAAGAUGAGCAUGGCUGCUGCUCAGGGAUGGCACACAAAUUCAUGAAGCAUUCCACAUUUUG